ACACGAAUAGCUUCAGUCGUUUUCCAGCGCUUCCAGCGCUAACUUCUACUCAUCCAUCCAAAAAAAAAUAUUAAAUAAGCAAAGCACCAACAAAUUAUAAUAAAAAUUGCAAAAACAUUUUGGCAUUAAAGAUUUGGUAAACCUAUUUUCGUUAAAAAAUAGUCUGCACACAAAAAAAACUUGGAAAAUUAGUGAAAUAUUGGUAUUCCAUAUUGUGAAAAGAGCGAGGAAUUUUUUAUAAAUUCUGUGAAGAGCUAGAAGCUUAUUGAUUAACGCCAGAAGUAAAUUUUACGCCAGAAGCUUUAAAAAAAGCAAUAUGGAAACCCAGGAUCGUCAGAUCAAGGUGUGGAUCCUUCAGCUAUUGUAUACAAAUUAACAAAACGUCUCUCGUACCAUACAAAUUCCUAUAUCAAUCUUAAAAAAAAAACAACCAAGCAACCCAAGACGAUACAAAAUAUAAUAAAAAUGGGCAUUCAGCCCCAAAAACUGGGGUUUCAAAAACAAACCUCCAACUUAAGUAUAAGGUUUUUAAAAAAAGACAAAACUGUACAGAGGACCAACUGCUUCCAGCGCUUGAUACCCAAAAAAAAAGCAAAGUUUUAAUUGGACCGACGAUGUUAACAAAAAAGCAGAAAGUGCGUAAUGGGGAUCGGAUAGCCCCACGUUAGGAUUAAGCUCAAAGAUGAUUCAUUAGUUUUAACUAGUUUGAGUUUAUUCAUUUAUCCUUUCCGGAAGGAAUUAGAAUUAAAAAAUAUUUACAAAAUAUGCGGGAUUCAAGGUUAUGGAACAGAAUAAACAGCGUAUUCAUUGUCCUCGCCAUUGGACGAACGGCUUCCAUCCAUCCAUCCAUCGGGAACGCAGAUUUAGGUCACUCUCCUCUUAGCCCUGAGAACAGCAAUUUCCAAGACUCCAGUUGCACAUCUUUUGGGAUCGAAAGGUGUAUGUAUAUAUAUUUAUCUGUUAUAUUGAUGGAAUACAUUUCACGGCGUGGUAUAAAAAGCAUCAUAAUAUGCGGAUAUACCUCCCCUGAAAUUGAUCGGACUAGGUACAAGCGAUAAACACUACAGAGAGAUACUACAGUCAUCAAAAUUGUGUGUUCAAAUUAAAUAAAAUUCUUUCGGCCAAAA
rnacentral:sRNA from 1 species